UACGAAAGGUGCAAGCGUUACUCGGAAUCACUGGGCGUAAAGCGCACGUAGGCGGACUCGUAGGUCAAUUGUGAAAUACCUGGGCUCAACCCGGGAACUGCAGUUGAAACCGCUUGUCUUGAAUACCUGAGAGGGUGGGGGAAUACCUGGUGGAGAAGUGAAAUUCGUAGAGAUCAGGUGGAACACCGGAGGCGAAGGCGCCUGCCUGGCAGUGUAUUGACGCUGAGAUGCGAAAGUGCGGGGAGCAAACAGG
rnacentral:rRNA from 1 species